ACUUGAAUAGCUUAUUAGAGCGUAAUAUUGAAGAUAUUAAGGAAAUUUAAAAUUUUUAAGUA
rnacentral:tRNA from 1 species